UCAUAGUCUAAAGGUUAGGACGUUGGCCUCUCACGCCGAAAAUAAGGGUUCGAUUCCCUUUGGU
rnacentral:tRNA from 2 species